rnacentral:lncRNA from 1 species
GCCCCUUUUCUCCUGAUUAAUCCACUGCAGGCCUAGAGCCAAGCUGCCCUGUUUAUUAAAACGGGAUACCCACUACAGCGUCCACUGCAGAUGCACUUCAAGAUUUCAAAGACUUCCAGCCACAAGAAGACGGCAAGUGAAGAAAAUAGGAGAAAGUGAAUAGUAGGCCUGCCCAUGGCUGCUGGUGGGCCAGUCAGCACGUACUUCCUCCCUUCUGAAGCCCAUAAAAACUAGACUCAGCCAGACUCACAGACUUUGGGAUGACCUGCUAGGGGACAGGAGCUGCCCAUGGCAGUCUCCUCUCCUCUGAGGGCUGCACACUCGACAGGAUGACCGGCCUGCAGACAGGAGCUACCCACUCCAGGACUGCUCUCCGCUGACAGCUGCACCCAUUGGGAUAACCUGCCUGUGAAAAGAGCUACCCGCAGAGGCGGGC